AGCAAGGUGCUGAAAAUACCUAGACGAGUUAAUUUAACUCCAUAAACA
rnacentral:tRNA from 1 species